CAGGUUAGGGAUACCCGCUGAACUUAAGCAUAUC
rnacentral:rRNA from 1 species